rnacentral:rRNA from 1 species
UGAGAUCAGUUGUUACUUGAUAUACACAUGCAAGUCUCCGCACCCCUGUGAAAACGCCCUUAAAUCCCUCUAAGGGAUAAGGAGCUGGUAUCAGGCACAAAUUAGCCCAGGACACCUAGCUUCGCCACACCCACACGGGAAUUCAGCAGUGAUUAACAUUGAAACUAAGCGACAGCUUGAAUCAGUCAAAGUAAGAAGAGCCGGCAAAUCUGGUGCCAGCCGCCGCGGUUACACCAUGUGGCUCAGACUGAUCCCUUUCGGCGUAAAGCGUGAUUAAAGUUAUCUAUUUAUGCAAUUAAACUAAGAUUAAGCUGUAACACGCUUAUUAUUAAGAAACCCUAAAACGAAAGUUAUUGAUCCCAACAACU